AGCUUUGUGCAGUGGCAGUAUUGUACCCAAUGAGGUUUAUCCCAGACACAAUUAUUGCUGAUUGAAAACUUUUCCCAGAAAGU
rnacentral:snRNA from 1 species